AAGGACUAUUAUUCGCUCGCUCCAGAUUUUUCAUUUUUAUCCUGCUUACAAUUUAUCCUUCGUCUCGUUUUGCUAUGGCCUCCGCCGAGAUCGCGGAGAUUGAGUUCCGAUAGUUCGUCGGUGAGCUCCUCUGGACCACCGACAAUGAGGCACUGGAGAGGGUCUUUUCCCCCUCCGAUGAAAGAUACCGAAUCGAAGAUCAUCGAGGACCGUCAGAUCGGUAGGUCGAGGUGCUUCGGAUUCGUUACCAGCAACAUGCGAAUGCGAUCCAAGGAGGCCAGAACCUUGAUUUGAGGACAUCUGGUCUUUUUGGUUGUGUCCUUGCUCAUGUUCGUGUGAUGUACUUGCGGUGGUUCCCACGAAUGUACCAUAGGUAAUCACUUUUUCAUUAUGUCAGGUGACCAUGGGAACAACAUGGGAGGCAACCUCACCACUAGCUUUCCAGAUCACGAGGACCUAUUUGCACCAUUACACCUUUUGUAGUUAUUAAAGAAUUUGACUGCCAGACAAAUAAUUUAACUAGUGGUUUCUCACUGAAUCAGGAAAUUUUUUUUUAACUGGAAGCAACUGCCUGCCAGUGCUGCAGCUAAAUGCAAUUGAUCUAUACCAGAUGAAACUUUGGGACGAAGAAGCUGAGUCCGUGGAACUUCAGUCAAAUUUCUUCUUUCUUUAGAGGGAAAAUGUUCUGUAAUGUUUCCCUUUCUUCGUCUGUCAUGGUUCAACGUAUUGGACCAAUAAGGCAAUGGGCUUAAAUACCAGGGGUUCCUAUUUCAAACGGCCCCCUUUUUAUUCCAACUUCUAAUAUUGCGGGGAGGCUAGAAUGCAAGAAUUCUAUAGGUAGGGCCUUAUAUAUGGCUCUUAGGUGAGCCUCUAUCUCUUAAUCGUUGGAUCAAAUUAGUUAGCUUAAUCUAACGGUUAAGAGAUAGGACCUCACUUAAGGGCUAUAUAUAAGGCACUCACUAUAGAAUGACUUGGCUAGAAUGAGGGGUUAUUAUGAGCGGGUAAUAGCCGUUCGAUUCAGUGCGGGGUUAUUAUUGGAUUGUUAGAUAUGACCUCCUCAUUGUAAACCCUCAACAUAGCCGACUCAUUCUAUAGUGAGGACAUUAUAUA